UUUCCGUAGGUGAACCUGCGGAAGGAUCAUUACAGUAUUCUAUUGCCUGCGCUUAACUGCGCGGCGAUAUACCUUUACACACAAUGUUUUUUCUACACAGAAUUAAAGACACCAUUGCUUUGGUGGGUUCGAAGGGUAAAAGCUUCGGUUUAAGGCCCGCCAGAGGUUAUACAAUAAACUCAAUUCUUAUUUUUUUUAGUGAUAAAAAAUUAUAAUAGUCAGAUUUUUUUUUGCCUGGAUUAAUUUCUUGUGCAUACAAAACUUCAAAACUUUCAACAACGGAUCUCUUGGUUCUCGCAUCGAUGAAGAACGCAGCGAAUUGCGAUAAGUAUUGUGAAUUGCAGAAUUUCGUGAAUCAUCGAAUCUUUGAACGCACAUUGCACCCUGUGGUAUUCCACAGGGUAUGCCUGUUUGAGCGUCAUUUCUCUCUCAAAACUCAUCUGAGUUUUGGUGUUGAGUGAUACUCUUUAGUUGUUCGAACUGACGAGUUUGCUUGAAAAGUAUUGGCAAGGGAGGCGAAAGUCCUGACAUGUGCUAUUUAUUCAAUGUAUUAGGUUUAUCCAACUCGUUGAUUGAUAGUGUGUGGCUAAUUUUUUGCUACUAGGCCCGGCCUAAUAACUACAACAAACCCAAAGUUUGACCUCAAAUCAGGUAGGAUUACCCGCUGAACUUAA
rnacentral:rRNA from 1 species